rnacentral:rRNA from 1 species
UAACUCGCCGAAAGUGAGCUAAUACCGUAUACGCUUGUUGUCUCACGGGAUAACAAGGAAAGCUGGACCGAGGGUUUGGCGCUCAAGGAUGGGCUCAUGUCCUAUCAGCUUGUUGGUAGGGUAACGGCCUACCAAGGCAACGACGGGUAGCUGGUCUGAGAGGAUGAUCAGCCACACUGGCACUGAGACACGGGCCAGACUCCUACGGGAGGCAGCAGUGAGGAAUAUUGCGCAAUGGGCGAAAGUGACGCAGCGACGCCGCGUGGGGGAUGAAGGUUUUCGAAUUGUAAACCCCUUUCAGGAGGAAAGAGAAGGUGGGUUACCACCUAGACGGUACCUCCAGAAGAAGCCACGGCUAACUUCGUGCCAGCAGCCGCGGUAAUACGAAGGUGGCGAGCGUUGUUCGGAUUUACUGGGCGUAAAGAGCACGUAGGCGGUUAGAUAAGCCUCUUGGGAAAGCUCCUGGCUUAACCGGGAAAGGUCGAGGGGAACUGUCUAGCUAGAGGGCGGGAGAGGAGCGUGGAAUUCCCGGUGUAGCGGUGAAAUGCGUAGAUAUCGGGAAGAAGGCCAGUGCGAAGCGACGCUCUGGAACGAUCCUGACGCUGAGGUGCGAAAGGUGGGGAGCAAACAGGAUUAGAUACCCUGGUAGUCCACGCCCUAAACGAUGGGCACUAAGUGUCGGCGGGUUACCCGUGCCGCAGCUAACGCAGUAAGUGCCCCGCCUGGGAAGUACGGCCGCAAGUUGAAACUCAAAGGAAUUGACGGGGGCCCGCACAAGCGUGGAGCAUGUGGUUUAAUUCGACGCAACGGAAGAACCUUACCCAGGUUGGACAUGCAGGUAGUAAGAACCUGAAAGGGGG